GAUGAAGAACGCAGCGAAAUGCGAUAAGUAAUGUGAAUUGCAGAAUUCAGUGAAUCAUCGAAUCUUUGAACGCACCUUGCGCUCCUUGGUAUUCCGAGGAGCAUGCCUGUUUGAGUGUCAUUAAAUUCUCAACCUUAUUAGCUUUUGCUGAUAAUGGCUUGGACUUGGGGGUCUUUUUGCUGGCUUUCAUUAGUCUGCUCCCCUUAAAUGUAUUAGCCGGUGCCCCGCAGUGGAACCGUCUAUUGGUGUGAUAAUUAUCUACGCCGUGGACGUCUGCUAUAAUGGGUUUGCGCUGCUUCUAACCGUCUCUCGGGACAACACAAAUGACAAUUUGACCUCAAAUCAGGUAGGACUACCCGCUGAACUUAAGCAUAUCAAUAAGCGGAGGA
rnacentral:misc_RNA from 1 species